rnacentral:lncRNA from 1 species
UGAUCCAUACCACAUGGCUGGAAAGUAAUGUGACACAAGGUCAUAAGGUCCGCGGCAUUAGAUGAUUCUUGCUGAUGCAGAAAUUACUUGAGAAUCCUCAUCAGAAACAAUCUCUGAAAACCAUGGAAGGGAAAGAGCUCACAACUGGUUCCCAACAGGCUGCCAGAGGCCAAGAAAGGAUGGCUGGAGAUGGAUGCAAAGGAUGGCAGCAUCACUCACACUGUCAGUGGGCACCGGGGGCUCUGGAAGAUCUCAUUUUGGAGGUUUACAAGACCUCUGAAAGAAGAAAAGGUGUUGUAAGAAGCGGGUAGGAGUGAUUUGAAUUGGUAAGUGUCAGUCUUCCAUGGGAUCUGGUACUAAACUAAAACUGCAGAAAAACAAAGAACAGUUUGUGUGACAUGCUGGAAUGAGACAUAAUUAAGUGCUGCUGCAGAAAUUCAGCCAUAGCUAGUCCCUCUAAAAAGGAUCCUGGCUUGAUUUUUAUUAGAAGUUGAAGGUCAAGGUCUUUAUCUGAGUGUGUUAUUGUACACUUCAACAUUUGGAUCCAUAUGGAAGAGCUGGUGUUUCUUGAUCAGUCCUAUGUAAUGUUUUCUUGGUAAACCCUGUUCAGCCCCAGAUGUCCAGUGAAAGUAGACUACACAUACCCCGAACCAGUAAAGAUGUUUUCUAACUCCUGUCAAAAUCUAGUGCAUGGAAGAGUUUACUAGACAAGAAAGUUUCUCAACAGAAGAAAACACAAAUAAGUCUAUGAGUGCAUAUCAGGUCUUAAGAAACAAAUUUUUUAGACAAGGUGACAUACUUUCAUUGGCA